AAGGAGCAGUCAACUUCAUCUCAAGCAUCUGACGCCAAUGGCUGCAGCUUGGACCAGGCCCAGAUGUCACUUGAUGCACUUUCGAGGACAGGCAUGAGUGAGCACGGGUCAGGAGGGAUCCCGAGCAUACUCCUAGAGUUUGACUCUUAUAUGCAUGGUGCAACAAGAGCCACCCAGGACCACUGCCCACCCAGGAGGCGGCGAGAAGUGGGAGAUAAGGUCUACAAGUGUCCGCACCUGCUCGCUCGAAUUCAUGCAGAAGGGGCACCUGAAGAUACACAGGCUUACACACAUUGGCGAACAGCCCUUUAAGUGCGCUUCCUGCCCUUACGUGACGGCCGAUAGGUGUGACCUGGUGACUCACGUGCGCACCCACACGGGCGAGAAGCCUUUCAUGUGCAAGCAGUGCCCUUACACGUGUGCCAGGAAGAGCCACUUGGCAUCGCACAUGCGCACCCACACGGGUGAAAAGCAGCACAAAUGCACCAUAUGCCCGUACGCAUCUGCCUGGAAGAUAAACUUGACGCGCCACAUACAGUUGUGCCACGGUGGAGUGCAGUUGCUGCCACAAGACCAGCCCGGUGAACGGCAAGCAAAUGUGCAGAUGUGAAAAGCUGUGGCAGUAGGCGUUUGUUUAAAUGCUUCAUUCUGAUGCCAAAAUCGAGUCCUAGAAAACUCUGGUCCUUGCUUGUACUUAAGAGUUGGGGUCUAUAUGCUUUAAGAGGGAGCAGAGUUGCACGAUUAGGGUUCUGUGCAAUGCUUGCAUUCAUCAAGCACAGUUGCAUAAUUGAAAAAGCAACCACACACUGCAAGGAACCAACACAAAAGUAGCAAACCAUCUUGGCAAUGGUAGCUUCACCACCACGGCGCACCCUAGCACCUUUUUUUGUUGGCCACUGUGCCAACUUUCUCUAAAAUUGGUCUCUUCUUUCAUUCAUUGGGAAGUUUUGAUAAGCACAUUUUUAUUUUUUUCACUCGGCCGUAUUGUGUAUGUGUUUUGCAUAUGUUUUUUUGUAUGUGUUGUGGUUCAGCAUAUUGCAUGGCAAAGGACUCUGCACUAAGCAGUGCAUCAGCGUAUUAAACAGUGUUAGCUGUUAAAAUAUAGUAUAACUACAGUCACUGAAGCUUUAGUUUGCAGACAGGCGUGCUUGACUCUCUUAGAUGAUGAGGGUCAAGCAUGCCCUUAUUGCUGGUGGGUGGUCAUGCUGACUUCUGCAGAUCAUUCAUUCUUGCUUCACCUCACAACCACUGUUUAUUUGGUGCACAAGGUGCUUGACGUUGCCACAACUAUUUUCCCUGUAAGAGCAGUACAGCAACUCUGUACUGAUUCUAAGAUGGGCUGUGUUGUGAUCUCUUUGCAUUCUAGUUCAGGGGAGUUAGUGCUUCUGUUCUCCAACAGGUGCAAGUGCAGAAGUAACUUUGCUGAAGUGGUCUUCACGCACUUGUUUAUAAGCAAGGGAACUGAGGGAAUAUUUAUUUUGUCACAUGAUUGUUAUGCAGAUUUGCAGCAUUACCUUUCUGGUGUUGACACAUGAAAUCAUAAAUGGUCUGUAAUUGGUGGGGAAGCAAGUGUCCAAAAUUUUCGCGCGCAAGGUAAAAAUAUUGUUACAUGAGUGCUCAAUUGAUUUACAUUUGGAUGUGUAGUUAUGUCAGUUUAGGUGUCCCGGGUAAAGCCUCAACACUUUCUUAAAACCUGUAGCACUGCAUGGCGAAUGAACCUCUCUAAAGACAAAUAGUUGAGCUGCUGCAUUUAGUAAAUGUACAUUGGAACUUUCUUUUUUUUCUGAAGGAACAUUGUCCAGAAUGACAAUGGUUGAGAUUUUAUAUGGUUGUGAUCAAGCUCUGCUUGGUGCCACCCAUCCACUUAUGGGCAGAUGGGUAAAGAAUUCUGAGGUCCAGUAUUGUCAUGUUGGGUCAAGAGCUUAUUGAGUGUGGCAUGGACCCUGCAUAAUUUGUUGCAUGAUCUCUGCCUAUGUUGUAAUGCUAAGUAUAAUAUUAAAUGUUCAGGGCCUUGAGAUUCUUAAAUGCUGUUAUUUUCAGACAGUGCUGUUUAUAUAUAUUUAAUGUCAUUAAAAGGUGUGGCAUAGCAUGAGGUCAAUUCAGCAGGUCAUUUUAUUGUAAUUUUCAAAAAUGAUCUUCGUUGCCUAAAAGUAGAAGCAACGUCACCCAAAAGGGUAUAUUGUUCAUACUUGAAUAAGAAUUCUCAUUCAAAAAAGCUUGUGUCCAGAAGUAUAGCUGUCAACAACUGUCAAAUUCAAAGCUAAAGCAGUUGAAGCAAACCAGCACCUGUAAAUUUUGCACAUGAAGUGUC
rnacentral:lncRNA from 1 species